rnacentral:rRNA from 1 species
GUUAUAUGGUCAAGUGAAGAAGCGCAUACGGUGGAUGCCUUGGCAGUCAGAGGCGAUGAAAGACGUGGUAGCCUGCGAAAAGCUUCGGGGAGUCGGCAAACAGACUUUGAUCCGGAGAUCUCUGAAUGGGGGAACCCACCUAGGAUAACCUAGGUAUCUUGUACUGAAUCCAUAGGUGCAAGAGGCGAACCAGGGGAACUGAAACAUCUAAGUACCCUGAGGAAAAGAAAUCAACCGAGAUUCCCUUAGUAGUGGCGAGCGAACGGGGAUUAGCCCUUAAGCUUCAUUGAUUUUAGCGGAACGCUCUGGAAAGUGCGGCCAUAGUGGGUGAUAGCCCCGUACGCGAAAGGAUCUUUGAAGUGAAAUCGAGUAGGACGGAGCACGAGAAACUUUGUCUGAACAUGGGGGGACCAUCCUCCAAGGCUAAAUACUACUGACUGACCGAUAGUGAACCAGUACCGUGAGGGAAAGGCGAAAAGAACCCCGGAGAGGGGAGUGAAAUAGAACCUGAAACCGUAUGCGUACAAGCAGUGGGAGCCUACUUGUUAGGUGACUGCGUACCUUUUGUAUAAUGGGUCAGCGACUUAUAUUCAGUGGCAAGCUUAACCGUAUAGGGUAGGCGUAGCGAAAGCGAGUCUUAAUAGGGCGUUUAGUCGCUGGGUAUAGACCCGAAACCGGGCGAUCUAUCCAUGAGCAGGUUGAAGGUUAGGUAACACUGACUGGAGGACCGAACCCACUCCCGUUGAAAAGGUAGGGGAUGACUUGUGGAUCGGAGUGAAAGGCUAAUCAAGCUCGGAGAUAGCUGGUUCUCCUCGAAAGCUAUUUAGGUAGCGCCUCAUGUAUCACUCUGGGGGGUAGAGCACUGUUUCGGCUAGGGGGUCAUCCCGACUUACCAAACCGAUGCAAACUCCGAAUACCCAGAAGUGCCGAGCAUGGGAGACACACGGCGGGUGCUAACGUCCGUCGUGAAAAGGGAAACAACCCAGACCGCCAGCUAAGGUCCCAAAGUUGUGGUUAAGUGGUAAACGAUGUGGGAAGGCUUAGACAGCUAGGAGGUUGGCUUAGAAGCAGCCACCCUUUAAAGAAAGCGUAAUAGCUCACUAGUCGAGUCGGCCUGCGCGGAAGAUGUAACGGGGCUCAAACCACACACCGAAGCUGCGGGUGUCACGUAAGUGACGCGGUAGAGGAGCGUUCUGUAAGCCUGUGAAGGUGAGUUGAGAAGCUUGCUGGAGGUAUCAGAAGUGCGAAUGCUGACAUGAGUAACGACAAUGGGUGUGAAAAACACCCACGCCGAAAGACCAAGGGUUCCUGCGCAACGUUAAUCGACGCAGGGUUAGUCGGUUCCUAAGGCGAGGCUGAAAAGCGUAGUCGAUGGGAAACAGGUUAAUAUUCCUGUACUUCUGGUUACUGCGAUGGAGGGACGGAGAAGGCUAGGCCAGCUUGGCGUUGGUUGUCCAAGUUUAAGGUGGUAGGCUGAAAUCUUAGGUAAAUCCGGGGUUUCAAGGCCGAGAGCUGAUGACGAGUCGUCUUUUAGAUGACGAAGUGGUUGAUGCCAUGCUUCCAAGAAAAGCUUCUAAGCUUCAGGUAACCAGGAACCGUACCCCAAACCGACACAGGUGGUCGGGUAGAGAAUACCAAGGCGCUUGAGAGAACUCGGGUGAAGGAACUAGGCAAAAUGGCACCGUAACUUCGGGAGAAGGUGCGCCGGCUAGGGUGAAGGAUUUACUCCGUAAGCUCUGGCUGGUCGAAGAUACCAGGCCGCUGCGACUGUUUAUUAAAAACACAGCACUCUGCAAACACGAAAGUGGACGUAUAGGGUGUGACGCCUGCCCGGUGCCGGAAGGUUAAUUGAUGGGGUUAGCGCAAGCGAAGCUCUUGAUCGAAGCCCCGGUAAACGGCGGCCGUAACUAUAACGGUCCUAAGGUAGCGAAAUUCCUUGUCGGGUAAGUUCCGACCUGCACGAAUGGCGUAACGAUGGCGGCGCUGUCUCCACCCGAGACUCAGUGAAAUUGAAAUCGCUGUGAAGAUGCAGUGUAUCCGCGGCUAGACGGAAAGACCCCGUGAACCUUUACUGUAGCUUUGCACUGGACUUUGAGCCUGCUUGUGUAGGAUAGGUGGGAGGCUUUGAAGCGUGGACGCCAGUUCGCGUGGAGCCAUCCUUGAAAUACCACCCUGGCAUGCUUGAGGUUCUAACUCUGGUCCGUAAUCCGGAUCGAGGACAGUGUAUGG